rnacentral:rRNA from 1 species
CCUACGGGUGGCAGCAGUAGGGAAUCUUCCACAAUGGGCGAAAGCCUGAUGCAGCAACGCCGCGUGGGUGAAGAAGGCUUUCGGAUCGUAAAACUCUUUUGUUAGAGAAGAACAUGCGUGAGAGUAACUGUUCACGUUUCGACGGUAUCUAACCAGAACGCCACGGCUAACUCCGUGCCAGCCGCCGCGGUAAUACGUAGGUGGCAAGCGUUAUCCGGAUUUAUUGGGCGUAAAGGGAACGCAGGCGGUCUUUUAAGUCUGAUGUGAAAGCCUUGGGCUUAACCGGAGUAGUGCAUUGGAAACUGGGAGACUUGAGUGUAGAAGAGGAGAGCGGAAUUCCAAGUGUAGCGGUGAAAUGCGUAGAUAUAAGGAAGAACACCAGUGGCGAAGGCGGCCCUCUGGUCUGUAACUGACGCUGAGGUUCGAAAGCGUGGGGAGCAAACAGGAUUAGAUACCCUAGUAGUC